GUGCCAGCAGCCGCGGUGAUACGGAGGGUGCAAGCGUUAAUCGGAAUAACUGGGCGUAAAGGGCAUGCAGGCGGUUCAUCAAGUAGGAUGUGAAAUCCCCGGGCUCAACCUGGGAACAGCAUACUAAACUGGUGGACUAGAGUAUUGCAGGGGGAGACGGAAUUCCAGGUGUAGCGGUGGAAUGCGUAGAUAUCUGGAAGAACACCAAAGGCGAAGGCAGUCUCCUGGGCAAAUACUGACGCUCAUAUGCGAAAGCGUGGGUAGCAAACAGGAUUAGAUACCCUGGUAGUCCACGCCGUAAACGAUGUCAAUUAGGAGCUUGGGGGUUCCGCAGCUAACGCAAUAAAUUGACCGCCUGGGGAGUACGGCCGCAAGGUUAAAACUCAAAUGAAUUGACGGGGGCCCGCACAAGCGGUGGAGCAUGUGGUUUAAUUCGACGCAACGCGAAGAACCUUACCUGAUCUUGACAUCCAGGUGCUGCAUGGCUGUCGUCAGCUCGUGUCGUGAGAUGUUGGGUUAAGUCCCGCAACGAGCGCAACCCUUGUCCUUUGUUGCAACUCAAAGGAGACUGCCAGUGACAAACUGGAGGAAGGCAGGAUGACGUCAAGUCAUCAUGGCCCUUACGGUCAGGGCUAC
rnacentral:rRNA from 1 species